UACGGAGGAUGCGAGCGUUAUCCGGAUUUAUUGGGUUUAAAGGGAGCGUAGGUGGAUUGUUAAGUCAGUUGUGAAAGUUUGCGGCUCAACCGUAAAAUUGCAGUUGAAACUGGCAGUCUUGAGUACAGUAGAGGUGGGCGGAAUUCGUGGUGUAGCGGUGAAAUGCUUAGAUAUCACGAAGAACUCCGAUUGCGAAGGCAGCUCACUGGACUGCAACUGACGUUGAGGCCCGAAAGCGUGGGGAGCAAACAGG
rnacentral:rRNA from 1 species